CCUACGGGUGGCAGCAGUGAGGAAUAUUGGUCAAUGGACGCAACUCUGAACCAGCCAAGUAGCGUGCAGGAUGACGGCCCUAUGGGUUGUAAACUGCUUUUGUGCGGGGAUAAACUGAGUCACGUGUGGCCUAUUGCAGGUACCGCGUGAAUAAGGACUGGCUAAUUCCGUGCCAGCAGCCGCGGUAAUACGGAAGGUCCGGGCGUUAUCCGGAUUUAUUGGGUUUAAAGGGAGCGCAGGCCGCACCUUAAGCGUGAUGUGAAAUGCCCCGGCGCAACCGGGGAACGGCAGCGGGAACUGGGGGGCUUGAGUGGGCGGGAGGUAGGCGGAAUGCGUGGUGUAGCGGUGAAAUGCUUAGAUAUCACGAAGAACUCCGAUUGCGAAGGCAGCCUACCGUCGCGUUACUGACGCUGAGGCUCGAAGGUGUGGGGAUCGAACAGGAUUAGAUACCCGAGUAGUC
rnacentral:rRNA from 1 species